CUCCGGGCCGUGGGGUUCGCCUCCAGGGCCGUCAUGAUCUGAGGGGGAAGCAAGGAGCAGCUGGGUCCCAGCCCACGGCCCUGGCCCCAGAGGCCCCUGCAGCCCCUGCCACAGAAGAUGGGGGGACAACGCGCCUGGAUUGCCACAGCUGGCCAUCGGCAGCCUUGGAAAGUCCGGGGCUCAUGGCAGGGCAGGGUCAUGUACCUGCCAUCCUGCAGCGCCGGGUCUCAUCAGACCAUCUCCUCAAUGUUCCCAGCAUCCAGGCUUUCAUGCCUCCCUGCCCUUGGCCAGGCCAGAGAGGCUUCAACCCAAGAUGGAGCCUCAGUUUGCUCAUCCACAAAGGGGGCUGAAGACCAUCCCUUCUGGCUGGGGUGGUGGAAAGGCCCUGAGCCGAGGUUGCGGCCUGCAGCGGGCCAGCCUACCUGCA